rnacentral:rRNA from 1 species
GUCUCAGGCCGUAAUCAAGCCUGAAGGCGCCCGAUCUCGUCUGAUCUCGGAAGCUAAGCAGGGUCGGGCCUCGGUUAGGAUCUUGGAUGGGAGGACCACCUGGGAAUCCCGGGUGCUCGAGGCU